rnacentral:rRNA from 1 species
ACGAUGAGAAGGAUCCUGAUGCAGCACUAGGCCAGCUUUUAUCUGCCCUAAAAGCAGGGUGAAUAAGUGGUGGGUAAGACGGGUGCCAGCCGCCGCGGUAAUACCCGCGCCACUAAUAGUGAUCACGCUUAUUGGGUCUAAAGAGUCCGUAGCCGGUCANACAAGUUCUUGGUGAAAUCUGCUAGCAAACUAACAGGCUUGCUGGGAACACUGUUUGACUUGGGAUCGGGAUAGGAUAGGGGUAUUCUGUGAGUAGGGGUUAAAUCCUUUAAUUCAUGGAAGACCUCCGGUGGCGAAGGCGCCUAUCUGGAACGAGUCCGACGGUGAGGGACGAAAGCGUGGGGAGCAAACGGGAUUAGAUACAAAAUCUCUAAUCCUAUGAUACCAAAGAUGAUUGGAUUUUUUGCUAGAAACCCCGAUAGUCCACGCUGUAAACGAUGCCUGUUUGAUGUUGCAAGCUUUACGAGAGCUUGCAGUGUCGGAGCGUAGGUGUUAAACAGGCCACCUGGGGAGUACGGCCGCAAGGUUGAACUUAAGGGAAUUGGCGGGAGAGCACACAAGGGGUGGAGGCUGCGGUUUAAUUGGAUUAGACGCCGGACAUCUCACGAGGAUUGACAGCAGAAUGAAGGUCCUCCCAAUGAGCGUACCAGACAGCUGAGAGGUGUGCAUG